rnacentral:rRNA from 1 species
UACGUAGGUAGCGAGCGUUAUUCGGAUUUACUGGGCGUAAAGGGUCUGCAGGGGGUCUGCCAAGUCUGGCGUGAAAUUCCAAGGCUCAACCUUGGAACUGCGUUGGAUACUGGCGGACUAGAGUGCAUGAGGGGAGAACAGAAUACCUGGUGUAGCGGUGGAAUGCGCAGAUAUCAGGUGGAACACCGACGGCGAAGGCGGUUCUCUGGCGUGCAACUGACCCUGAGGGACGAAAGCGUGGGGAGCAAACAGG